GAUUUAACCUUAUUAUAGACACUGAUAAGACAAACAUUAAAACCACUAACAGGAGAAUGUGAAUAACAUUGAUUACAUUGUUACAAUAGAACCCAUCAAGGCAUGAGAUUAAAUUAGGCCUCAAGUGCUUUGUCACUUUUUGAAUUUGUGCUGGAAGCAGGACAAAUGACCAAGAAAAAGAUCUAGUGACUUUGACAAGGGCCAAAGAAGACCGGGUUAGAGCAUCUCCAAAAUGGGGUAUUCCCGGUAAGCCGUGGUUAGUACCUACCAAAAGUGGUGCAAAGGAGGACAACUGGUGAAGCAGAGCCAGGGUCAUCAGUGCCCAAUGUUCAUUGCAGCACCAUGUGGAGUGAAUGCUAGCCUGUCUAGUCCGAUAACAC